CGUGGCUUCUGGAGUCUUCUAGAUGAUAGAAAAUUGUGCGGCACAUUAAUAUCUCUAUGUAAUCCCGAUGUGUGGGCCUUUCUUCCAUAUUUCCUGAUAACCCCCAGCAGAAAUAGACAAACACCAAAACUCGUGGAAUUCUGUCAGAUAAAACCCUAAUUCUAGGUGUUGGUUGCAUUUGGAUCCUUUUCUUUAUUUAUUUGAUAAUUAAAUUUGAUACUUAAGGACCGUCAACAAACUCCCCUAAGCUUACCUCUUGCUCGUCCCUGAGCAAGGAUGAACUCAAGAGUUUCUGCAGUGGUUUCAUGCCUUAAAAGUACACACGCAUUCAAGCAAGAUCUCAUCUCUGAGUUAGAAUAAACUGUUAAGACUUAAAACUUACUCAUUUUACCUUUCACCAUGGGUCUUGUAACCAUCACUUGUGUCUUGAGUAGUUAAAAGAUAGAACGGUCAAGUCAAGCGCCAUGUCUCUUAUUCUUGAUCAGCUAUAGCUCUGGAGUCUUUGCAGAUUUUCAAAUAAAACUCAGAGAUUCCUUGUAUGACUCUAUCAGAUCUCUCUUUUGUGGUAUUUCUGGAUCCUUACCAAGGCAGUAAUGGUAUAUGCCUUCUCUCAAUGUAUGUAGUAUUUGUGGUAUGAGGCAUAGUGAUAUUGCCUUCUCUCUCACCCUACUCUAAUAAGGUUUUGAUAUCUGGAGCUCAUAGGUGGGAGACAGCUAAUACAUACUUACAAGACAUUUAUUGCAUAGUCAAACCAUGGAUCCAGAGAAACAAGUCAAUAAGUCAAAUCAAGAUGUGCAUAUGUGGCGAGUGAAUGUUGUAUGGUGAUGAUGGAGAUAACAAUGGUGAAAAUCUAAUUCUACUUUUGCUCUUUUAAGGGGAUACAUACCUUUCUUGCACUUUGAAGCUUUUUGAGGAGAAUGAGAUGCUCUAUAUUUUCUUUUUUCUUUUUCUCUCAGGUGGGUAUCUUGUACCCCUAAUUCUACUGUCGGACACUUGUCCAUUUUUACCUCUCGUCUCACUUUUUCUUUUCUUUCGAGGUUCCGGGCACUUGCCCCUUUUUAUUUCCUCGUAUUAUUAUUAUUUUUUUCUUUUCUCUUUUUUUCAAUCUUUUUUUUAGAGCACUCAUCUCCUGAAAUAAUGUAGCAAGUGGUAGUAACCAAAAUAACUGGAGCAUUUAUUUCACAGGGAAUAACAGGGAUAGGAAAAUAUUUUUGGCUAUUCUCCCCCGGAUAGGAGUAGAAUACUUUUGGGUGGUUUUGGAGAUGGAAAUGAGUGGAUAUAUGUGGAUGGUACUUCUGGAGUAGAAGUAGCAUGUAUGAGUGAACGUGCAAGUGAAUCUUGAUUUUAACCACAUGGCAAGCUCCUAAGGGUCUACACAGCUUGACCACACUCAAUGCUCAUAAGCAGUAAAAAGUAAAUGUGUGGCUCAAAGUCUAGCAAGCAUGUAUGGCUGUGGUAGGAAUUUAAACUCUCAUCAUACAGGAACUCAUCAUGUGUUAUUUUAAAGACUUUUCAAAGAUAAAAUUCUCCAGAAUUCUAGCAUCUCUAGGAACAGAUAAACAGCAGCUCAACCUUUUCAUAUCAUAUCUGUUAACGACUUAGACUUUAGAUCAAGUACUCUUCCCACAAGUUCAGGUUUAGAGCAAAUCUUACUUCAUAACAGUCAUGCCUAAACUUGAGAGAGAUUUCAAUUUGAAGAACUAGUCAUGGCAGAGCAACUAUUCAUCAUUCCAUGUGAGAGUUUAUCAUGAGUGUUCAUAGCAAACUUUAUUUAUUUAUUUAUUUAGCAAACUAAGCAAAGAUAUAUAUAUAUAUAAAAGCACAAAAUCUUUAUUUGGGUUUUCAUGAUUAUGCAUCUUUUUAUUAUUUGAGUAAAGUAUAAACGCGAGUAGAAACACUUAGCUGGAUAAAUGGGGGUGCUCUCCCCCAAGCUGAAUUUUGACGUAAUUUCUUCUGAUGUAGCUAGCAGGUGGUGGAGGUGUAUUUGAGUGUCAGCAGCACCCUGACAGCGAUUAGGAUGUCCUCCGUCUGCUAGUCUUCUUUGAUCCUUGAAUUCUGUGGAGCUCAAAUAGACAACAAAGCUUUGUGGAACUGGUUAAGUGUUAGCAUAAAUAUCUAGCCUUUAAAAUAUUGAGCCUCCUCAAUAAAUGUUACUCUCUUUAGUAGGAUCGUAAAUUUAUUUUUAUAUUUUUUAUAUUUAUAGGACAAGAAUAUAUUUAUUUUAUUUUUAUGCCACCACAGUGAAUGUACUUAUGGGGUUUAUGCCACUCGUAUACUCACAUGGGGCUUACUGUUUUUUAACAUUUUUAUUUUCUUUUUAAGAUAGCAUGAACCUGAUUAACUAAGCAAACUAUUUUAAAUAAUUGAAAGGAAAAGGAUAACUACCAAGUUUACCUCUUGGCAAGGCGUUCGGUGUUUUUAAGUCCUCCAAAUGGGACUCCUUGUGUUUUCAGUCGUCUUGGGAUUCGCUAGGUGGCGUAGUCGGUGGUUCCGGCGGCGCCUCCUCUUCGUGUAUAACUAUCUUCUCUCUCCACACCUGAUUCGGUGCUACAGUCUCCUCAGGACAGUUCUGUUCAAGCUAUAUAUCUUCAGACCUUAUCACUUCUCCUUCGUAGUCUACCCAUCCGUCCUUGAUGAUUUGGCUCCUCUAGUUGCGGUUGCGUCGUCUUCUUCUUGUCCUGACCUGCUUAGAGUCUUCAACUAUAUAGUUAAGGUCAGUAAAAUAGCUGCGUACCUUCUCAGAGGGGAAGUACAUGUGGACUUCUCCGGUUCCAAUGUAGAUGAUGGCCCUGAUAGUGUUGCGGAGCGGUCUUUCAAGGAUGGUGGGUGCAUCAUACUCGUCUUCUCCCAUGUCAAUGUCCUACAAAUCAUCUAGAGCUGAAUGUAUAUUGGUUGUAGGGGCAUGGUUCCAUACAGGAGCUGAUAAGUAACUGCGGCCAUUAUGUUGACGUCAGAUCCGGUGUCGUAGAGUGUCUUCUAAGAAGAGUAUCUGUUGAUUGUGCACUCGAUGCUUGGAACACCAGGGUCGUCCUUCUUGAUCAAGAAAGGUGACUUGAGUCGACGAUCUUGACCUCCUUGAGCUGCAAUGACCAUCUUAGCUGACUCGGUCCACAUUUGCUUGUUCCUGUUCCUCCUGUUGGUCCUCUUCCUUGGUUCAUGUCGGGAUUGCUCUGAAAUUUGUGUAGUCUUGUUCUUGAAGGAAAAUCUCCUUCUUCCCCUUGAUGUAGAGACUGAUCUUGGCAGCAUUAGCGUAGAUGACAGCUCUAGUGUUUAGGAAUGGCCUCCCUAAGUUGAUGGGUGCCCUCUCCUCAGUACCAGUCUCUAUCACCAUGAAGUUUGCUGGAGCGUACAAGGUACCAACUCGGACACAGAGGUUCUUCAAUAUUUCCUUUGGAAAACUAAGUGUCUGAUCUCCAUUGUGUCUGUGCUCGUAGAUCCCGGUUCUUCACUUGGUGGAAUCUGGGAGUUGUAAAACUCCUCCAUGUUUUGUUUGAAGUGUACCUAUUCAUGGAGACCAUGCAGAGAUCAAGUGCAUGAGCCCUGUUGGUGGAAAACACCAACAGAACCAAAAGUGUUUUUGUUCUUCUCUAACCUUAAGCAUAGUGAGCAAGGCAAAGUUCAUGGAUCAUGAGUGUAGUAUUUAAAACAUUUGUUAGAUCAGAUGGCUCAACCUAAUGGAAAGAUAAUCUAUAUAUAUUUAUGUUUUGUUUAUAUCUUCCAAAGAUUGAAUGUGCAAUACUUUAGCUUAUAUGAUUAGGAGUGUGGGAUCACGAAGGUAGUACUAAGAACAAAGAUUAAAGGACUAAACAUGUUGAAUUAAUUGAGUUGGUUAAUCUGGAGUUACAAAUCAUACAUGUUGGUCUCUUUAUUUUAUGUGAUCGCCAGAACCAAGGAGAAACUUAUAAAAGUGAUAGUCAAGUACCUUAAAAUGUUACCUUACUUGAAGAGUGGCGGUACAGUAUCACCUUGUAGAAGCUUUCCUUUCUUAGCGGUUGUGCAUCGUGUUUGUGGCUUCCUCCAUGGAUCAUCUCUUUAUGAUGAAUGAGCUAUGUCCUUCUUGCGCAAAUUGUUAAACUUCAUGUGUCUCCUUUAUCUCCAAUGAGUUUGUAUCUUAGGACUUCCUAGGUUGAUAUUGAAAGUUUUCCUGCAGGGGUUAGUCCAACAAAAUAUCCCAUAUCUACUAUAGUAUACUAUCGGCUCAAAAAUCAACCUAGACACCAUGUCUAAUUUGAUUUAGAAGGGCAUUUUAACCUAAGCACCAUGCUUAAUUUGAAAUCCCUUGGAAGUAAGAUCAUCAUUCCUAAACUAAGCACCAUGCUUAAUUAAGAGAUAAAUGAAAUUAUUCCAAACCUAGACAUAUACUAAAGCAAAUAAAGGUAGCAUGAGAGCAUUUAUAGAGAUCUACUUAAGUGGAGAUGAAGUAGUGUAAUUAGUAUUUAACAAACUGAGCAUGUCUCAAAGGUAAGGACAACCAACGUAGCAACAUAGCAAAGGAUGUUUUUAUGUAAAGUACUCCCCCAUGUUUGAAUUUUACAAAAUUCAAGUUUGGAUGAAUUUAAUUCAAUGUUGCAUGAUGAUUGGUUGGACAUACCUUGUGCUUGUCAUUCAUCCGAUCUUCUUGCUCCAAUCCUAGAAAGGUUAGUGGCAAGAAUACCCGAAGGAAUAUUUCUAUAAUUAUCUUUAUAUUGCUCAAUACACAAGGCAAUGUUGCAAAUAAUUAGAAGUGCUUGUUUUAGAACACUAAGCUUGUCCUUGGGAAACCAUCAAGUUAUGUUGGUGAAGUGGUUUCCCCUCCAACACCAACCUAAGCGUGCCUAUAUCAAGAUCAACGAGAUCUAGAAUAUUUAUUAUAGAUAUAUGCAUCGACAACCGCCCUUUUAAAGUUUUUAUAAAUAGAAAGGAAGAGGGGGUUGGAGAUCUCAAAUGUGGUAAGGAUGGAGAGACCAAUUGAUUGGGGAGAUGUUUUAUAUGAGCAAGGACUUGGUGAGGUAUUUAUGAAAUAACUUCCAUGCUCACUGUUGUUUCUCUCAUUCUCAAACUCCAAGGAUGACUUUUCAUGAAUGCUUAAAAUUCCUCUAGAAUUGUCUCUCAAGUUUGUUUUAUCCAUCCAUUUAAUGGUGAUAGCACAUGGAUUUUUAAUGCCCUCUAGCCAUCGAUGUUGCUCUUCUCGAUCCUCCUUCUUAUGCAUGGGAUGUCUAGAGAGAUUCAUAGGAUUAUCGGGAGGUUCAAGAGAAAGAGCAUAGUGGAAACUAUUAAGCUCAAGGAUGGGUUUGAUAGCCGAAUCAUGGGGUUGAAGUGUUUGGAAAUUGGCUAUUGAACCUUCCUUUCCUUGUCUGGGAGAUGAUUCCUUCUCUAUUUCUAAGAUUUUUCUAUGAAGACUAGUACAAGAAGGAUGUCCACGAAUGAAGACAUACCUUCCUUUACUAAUAGAUAAAGAAAGAAAGACUCUACCAAAGGUUAUAUGAUUAAGACUAAUGUGAAAAUAUCUAGGAAAAACAUGGUCUUGUAGGGCUAGGUCUAAACCAGAAUUUAUAAAAAGAUUAACAGAUUCCCUAGGUGUAGCUAAAAGUGCAUUAUCUUCUUGAUUAAAAGAUAGGACCUCGACUAUAGAAAAGGGUUGGUUUUGACCUAUUGUAAUCAACUCCGGACAUAGAUCAUAAUUACGGGCAGGACGUGUUGACUCCCAUGGUCUAUGGCUGGUCUCCGAAGGUGCAAAGAAUUCAAUAAUAGGUAUGGAAUUUAAGUUAUCCAUAAAAAUAAAAGUAAAAGAUAAAAGUAUAAAAGUAUAAUACAAGAAAAUAGCAAGACUCAAAGUUAUCUCAGCAAAUCGUCUUUCUCUCCGGCAACGGCGCCAGAAAUGCUUGUUGAUAUUUGAUAACGCAAUAAGGAAAUGAUCCGCAAGCGCACGGAUAUCGGUGAGCAUUUCACCCGGGAGGUUAUCCAGAGUUAUCGUAUUUAUAUUUUUACCACUGGGAGAAAGGGUGCAUCUGACUAACCAAAUCUAUUGCUACUAUCCCUUUAGGCUACAAAGAAUGUUUCUCGAUGUGAGUGAUGUAUAAAGAAGACUGCAACCGUAGUCUCGUUCUAACCUUGGUAAGGAUGAUCUACUGUUCUAUUGGGGAGGCUCACGGAAUCUAGACAACACAAAGGAUGUUCGACCCGCACCUAUAAACCUACCCGUCCUGCUAACAAGAUAUGGGAUACAAAGGUAACUCGGAAAUGUCACGUUCCUCGCUACUAUCAUGGUCCAGCUAGUCAGGGGAUAUCUAUGAGUACCCUAGCCUAAACACCACGUUUACGCCAGCAAUGAUUACUCUAAUACUCAACCGGAAGAGGAUUAAAGUAAACUCAUAAACCAAAGAACAAUAAAACAAGAACUUACUAGAAUUAGAAGUCGAAUUACUGAAGAAUCUUAGAAGCAAGCCUUGGGUUAGGAGACUUGAUCCCGCAGGUACAACUCGGAGUAGACACCGACAGGCCGGCCUUCCUCCGAUCUACACCUCCACUCUAUCUCUCUCAAUCUAGUAGAAACUAGAAGAUCUAUUUCUACUUACAUUGGUUGCUAAGCCUAAAAAGAAAUAUUAUUUAGAGAAGAGGUUUUCCUUCGAGGGCACCCCUCAAUCUCUAUGAUAAUUUCUUAUCUUCUCCAGGGGCCAGGGGGGUCUGCUUAUAUAGUCCUCCUCCUCUGUGCAUUUUUGGUUCAGCAGGCGAUGUGGUACUAAACUUUCCACCAUAUCUCAUUAAAAUGCACAUAGGCCUUAAUUGACCAAAAUCUGAUUUGGGCCCAAUUAAUCCCGCAGCUCUUUUAUGUGGAGUCCUUCUUUUAUUAAUAUCUUUUGAUUCCGAACUCCAAAUAUAGCAAAUAAUAUAUGCAUUUCGAUCAGCUCGACGAGAUCUUUGCAAUGGUGUACUCCAUUCUGUGAUUGGUGGAAACACCUAGGCGGGCGCCCAAGGGGGGUGGGCGGGUGCCCUGCCCCCGGGCCCGUUUGCCUUCUCGUUCGUUCCCGUGGCUUCUGGAGUCUUCUAGAUGAUAGAAAAUUGUGCGGCACAUUAAUAUCUCUAUGUAAUCCCGACGUGUGGGCCUUUCUUCCAUAUUUCCUGAUAACCCCCUGCAGAAAUAGACAAACACCAAAACUCGUUGAAUUCUGUCAGAUAAAACCCUAAUUCUAGGUGUUGGUUGCAUUUGGAUCCUUUUCUUUAUUUAUUUGAUAAUUAAAUUUGAUACUUAAGGACCGUC
rnacentral:lncRNA from 1 species